CAGCGGAAACGAUUCAUCUUUGAUGCCAUAAAAUGUCUUGAUCCCGUUGAUCACUGUUUCAUCUCUCAAGAAAACAACAGGGUAAAGGCCUUUCCACUUUCCUUGCAUUGCUGGUACUUCUCUCCUUACUCCCAUAUCAUCAAGUUUUUGAGCCAAUUCUACGAUUCCUACUUCGCUGAUGUUAUCGUUCUCAGGGUGCUCAAAGCCAUUCUCUGAAACUACUUCUUCUAAAAUUGUAUCCUCCUCUGCACCCUCUUCAGGUUUAGUAACCACAGUGCCAGAUACUGCUUCACACGAGUUGAUGUUCUUUCUAGUAGAAAAAUUCCUUCUCUGAUUUAUUUUCUCCUGAAACUCUGCAGGAAAAUGAUCCGCAAAUCGUAUUAACGAAUCAACUA
rnacentral:lncRNA from 1 species